CUUGUACACACCGCCCGUCACACCAUGGGAGUGGGCUGCAAAAGAAGUGGGUAGUUUAACCUUCGGGAGGACGCUCACCACUUUGUGGUUCAUGACUGGGGUGAAGUCGUAACAAGGUAGCCCUAGGGGAACCUGGGGCUGGAUCACCUCCUUAUACGAUGAU
rnacentral:rRNA from 1 species